rnacentral:rRNA from 1 species
UGAGUUUGAUCAUGGCUCAGGACGAACGCUGGCGGCGUGCUUAACACAUGCAAGUCGAACGAUGAAGCCCAGCUUGCUGGGUGGAUUAGUGGCGAACGGGUGAGUAACACGUGGGUGAUCUGCCCUGCACUCUGGGAUAAGCCUGGGAAACUGGGUCUAAUACCGGAUAUGACCUCGGGAUGCAUGUCCUGGGGUGGAAAGUUUUUCGGUGCAGGAUGAGCCCGCGGCCUAUCAGCUUGUUGGUGGGGUAAUGGCCUACCAAGGCGACGACGGGUAGCCGGCCUGAGAGGGCGACCGGCCACACUGGGACUGAGACACGGCCCAGACUCUUACGGGAGGCAGCAGUGGGGAAUAUUGCACAAUGGGCGCAAGCCUGAUGCAGCGACGCCGCGUGAGGGAUGACGGCCUUCGGGUUGUAAACCUCUUUCACCCAUGACGAAGCGCAAGUGACGGUAGUGGGAGAAGAAGCACCGGCCAACUACGUGCCAGCAGCCGCGGUAAUACGUAGGGUGCGAGCGUUGUCCGGAAUUACUGGGCGUAAAGAGCUCGUAGGCGGUUUGUCGCGUCGUCUGUGAAAUCCCGCAGCUCAACUGCGGGCUUGCAGGCGAUACGGGCAGACUCGAGUACUGCAGGGGAGACUGGAAUUCCUGGUGUAGCGGUGAAAUGCGCAGAUAUCAGGGGGAACACCGGUGGCGAAGGCGGGUCUCUGGGCAGUAACUGACGCUGAGGAGCGAAAGCGUGGGUAGCGAACAGGAUUAGAUACCCUGGUAGUCCACGCCGUAAACGGUGGGCGCUAGGUGUGGGUUUCCUUCCACGGGAUCCGUGCCGUAGCCAACGCAUUAAGCGCCCCGCCUGGGGAGUACGGCCGCAAGGCUAAAACUCAAAGGAAUUGACGG